UUUUUAGUAGUAUAAUUAGAGUACAUUUACCUUCCAAGUAAAAAGUCUUUUAAAGCU
rnacentral:tRNA from 1 species